rnacentral:rRNA from 1 species
GACGAACGCUGGCGGCGUGCCUAAUACAUGCAAGUCGAGCGGGAAUUUUAUUGGUGCUUGCACCUUUGAAAUUUUAGCGGCGGACGGGUGAGUAACACGUGGGUAACCUACCUUAUAGAUUGGGAUAACUCCGGGAAACCGGGGCUAAUACCGAAUAAUACUUUUUAACACAUGAUUGAAAGUUGAAAGACGGUUUCGGCUGUCACUAUAAGAUGGACCCGCGGCGCAUUAGCUAGUUGGUGAGGUAACGGCUCACCAAGGCAACGAUGCGUAGCCGACCUGAGAGGGUGAUCGGCCACACUGGGACUGAGACACGGCCCAGACUCCUACGGGAGGCAGCAGUAGGGAAUCUUCCACAAUGGACGAAAGUCUGAUGGAGCAACGCCGCGUGAGUGAAGAAGGAUUUCGGUUCGUAAAACUCUGUUGCAAGGGAAGAACAAGUAGCGUAGUAACUGGCGCUACCUUGACGGUACCUUGUUAGAAAGCCACGGCUAACUACGUGCCAGCAGCCGCCGUAAUAC